GGUGACAGCCAUCCAGAAAGGAUUGGUCACUACUUUCUCGGUCUGCUUUUGCUCAGGGGGAUUGUCUUUUGGCAGGAAAUCCUUGCAAGGAACAUUACCGUGCGAGCACGGAGACGGAGGGAAGGAUCCCGGCGAACAAAGAACCCCGAGGAGCUCCUGUGCCGGGCAGGGGGCGCGGGGAGCUGGAGGCGGAUUUCAGCACGAUUGGAAGAAAACUUGCCUGCUCCAUAAAUUCCCCGUACACCACUUUCCACGGAUGCAGCCAGCAAGGCUAUGUGGAAGCAAAGACCCAGAUCUGAGCAGACUGUUUAGACUAGAGAUAAUAACCAUUCUCUGUGGUGGAGGAUGAGACACUUCCGACAGAAACCUGCUCAUUCUUUUCACCAGACUUGUUUGCUUGUUUGUUUCCAGCUCACAGGAAAUAAGCAGAAAAACCACACGUUUUCCUGGAUUACGCCUUCAUGUGAAACAAGGUUUUAUUGAGACCUUAUUAUUUCCAUUUUUAAUGACCCCCGGUGAACUCAUUUACUAAGUUUGAAAUGACCCGAGAUCACGUAAACAAAACCAGCCUGCAGACCCGAGCAGUCGCUGGUGUCCUCGCAGGUGAAGAGCGCCAGAGGGCGAGGCUGCCUUCAGCCCUCCUCGCUGCCAGCUCGGGCACGGCCUGAGGACCCGAAUGCUGCUCACCGUCACUGCAGGGCAGCAGGGCCCGUUCACCGUGAGCCCAGCCGCCUUCCCGGGCUGCGGAUGAUGCUCGCACCGCCCGGCGCUGCAGGUGGAGCGGGGCUGUUUUGGCUGCCGGUGCCGCUGCCUGCCGGCUGUCGGGGCGUGGGAUGUGCCCGGGGGCAGCUCGGGCCAAUAAACAUCCCCUGUCUCUCGCUUAAUUGGGAGUGGAGCUCGGGAGCGGGGACGUUCAGCCCUGCCCCGGCUCUCCGAUAGGUGCGGGGCCCGCUGCCGCCAGGUAAGGCGCUGGCAUCCACUUCCCACGAAAGCCAUCGGGUUGGAGGCUUGGGUGACCUGGUCCGACCUGGCAGGAGCCAAGCAGGACUGCACUCCUAAAAUAUAAUGACGUUAUAAGGUAUACCUCCUUUUUAAAAAAAUGUAUUAAAGCUUGCUUGAUUAUUUUAAAGGCAGUGUAGGCUUUUGAGCAUCUGUAAAUUCAUCAAGUGCCAUGGAUAGUUAAGCCACUUUAAAGCUUUGAAAGUAACAUAAGCGUUUAAGCCACUUUAGAUGUUUAAAUCUGUAUAAGCUGUUAAAAUGCCUUUAAUCCUCAGGUGCUUAAAUCACCUUAAACCUUGGGAGUUAGGUGGGAGAAUGAGCUGCCUGGAAAGACCUCAGCUCCAGUUCCCCCCAGCCCUCAGUUACCUGAUGGAUGGUGGUGAAAAUGAAUGAACUGUGGGGAAUACGACUGGAGUCCUUGGAACUUGCACCGAGUUCAGUGUUGCAUUGUGUUCUAAGGAGUGUGUCUGUUCAGUGCCCUCUAAGUUAAAACCGUGGUGCUGUUUCCCCUUGUUUUCAAGCCUUGAUAAGAACCAUGAACUUCUGUACAUUUUUCUGGCCAGUCCUGAAAGCAGAGGUGUGGAAAAGCAGAAAUGUGUUGCCUUGCCUCUCUGCUAAAGAAUAGGCAAGGCACUUGCUUUAACACAGGCAGCAAUAAAGAGUAUGAAUUUGUUAAUCUGUGUCAUACUUUUCCAUGUCUUCUGCUUUGAGAUCACUCGGUCCCUUCCCUGGCCAUGUACUGUACGUGGGAGGGAGCCUCUUUGCUUCUCCCCCCAGCCCUAGGAGGUGCUUUGGUGAUGUGAUGAGCUUUGAGACAAAAAGCUGCCACCACUGAUGGCUCCUCCAGUCAAGGCCUCACAUUCCUUUGCCACCGACCUGAAGGUGUCAUGGUCCUUUUGGGUUGCAGAAUCAUGGGAUAACAGUGAGUGGAGGGAACCUCUAGAGACCAUUUAGUCCAAAUUAAUGCUUCAAGUCCUGGGUUUAGUCAGAUUUGCAGUCUGAUACACCUGAGAUCUCUCUGGGAUGGCUGCACCCUCACCUGGGAGGCUUAAUUCAAGGUUGCGUCUCAAGCUCACUCCCCUUCCUGGAGAAAAUGUUGAGCUUUCAGCUCCUGGGAAGCCCACAAAUUGGUUUUCCUUUGUGGGGAGAUGGUGAGACUAGGAAGGGUGAUUUGCCAUGGCACAAAGCACCCACCUUCCCCAAAUGUCUGGGUGACGCUUUCACCCCUGAACUGAGUCCAGCUCCACUGACUGCUGAGAGUUGGCAGGCCAAGCAGAUUAGGGGAAUGCUGACCUCAGGGGCUUUCUAAGCAAAAACCUGGGGCUUGAGGACUUGCCCUUAACAUUGUAGAGGAAUUAAAAACCUGUGGCUUUUUAGCUCAUUCUCUUCAGCUCAUAAAAGGGCAGUGAUAAGGACAAAACUAGUUUUCUCACCACGAUGAAAACAUCCGAAAAAAAUUCUGCUUACCUUUAAAAAUGAUCUCUAGCAUCACACUACAGAAGUAUUAUUACUAUUUGAAUCUCAUAGUUGAAUUUUACAGGAAAAAAAUAGGAUUGCAUAGGUUUUGAUGUGAGUCAGUUCAGCAACAGAUCCCUCCUGAUGCUGUUUCGGUGGCUGAUAAGGUGGAAUGUAACAUUUUCCAGAUCCAGACUGGGCAGCAAUCUUAUUUUUUCUGUUGCCACAACAUUUAAAAUUUCCAUUGUCAAAAAACUGCACGUGGUGUAAAUAUAUCUUCCCCUCUUCCCCCGCCCCCCCUCUUCUCUGGAAGGAACCCUUAAGAAAUAAGUUAUCCUUUUCUUUGCUUUCCAUUUGGAAUGCUCACAGAAAAUGCAGCAGCAAGCAUGCUCGAAAGGUGUUGAGGAUGUGCCUGAGCGGCACAGGGGGAAAAAUCUUCCUUGGGCGACGGCAGAAGAGCCUCUUGGUGGCGCUUGUGCUCACGAUGUCGUGUUUUCCUCUGCCCAGUGACACGGGGGAUCGAUCUUCCCUGCUCUGUGUUUCUGCUCGCUGCCAUUCUUCUCUAGAAACUCUGUUCGGGGACUGAAACUCCGGGCCGUGUUUAGUCAGGGUUUGAUAUCACGGAAGGGAAAGACCAAACUGAGGCUGAUUACUUUCUAAUGGAAAUUAAACCAAAUGACACAGAGUUUUCUAGGUUUUCACUUUUAUUACUAUUUCGGUUUUAGUGGUCAUUCCCUUAAGAGUUUCCCUGCAUUUAGUAUCUUCAAAUUUUCAGAUUUUUUUUUUUUUCCCCAGUUUGGAUCAUUUUCUGUAAGAACAUUAUUAAAUGUUAUUCCAAACCUCUGCUUUUUAAUGUUGCCUUGUACUUUCUAUAUAUAUGAAGCAGUAGAUAUAGGUGCUUAGAUAUUUUAUUAUGCGCACACACACACACACACACACACACACACACACACACAUAUAUCUAUAAAUCCAGAUUUAUUUGUAUGCUAGUACUUCAGUAAGUUAUGAUCCUUCAAAUUUAUCAGACAUGUAUAUAUAUCUGGCUACAGUUUUUGUUGUAGUGAGCACUUUUGUUCAUGCAGAAUUUCUGUUUGUAAUUACCAUUCCCUUUACUAUCUAUCUAAUCUAAGUGCUGGAUAGCAAAGGUAGCAGAACCAUGCCCUGGAGGACUAUAAUUGCAUGGUACCUGGUUUUCCUAGUGUAUUUUGUUUAAAAAGCUGUAAUGUAAUAAAUCUUUCCUUUCUUUCCCCUUAGCUGCUAUUUGCAGCCUGGUAGUAGCUAGCACCUUGAGCAGAGAGCGGGGCCCCACGGUGUGAGCAUACAAAAGGACAGGGUGUUUAUCCCAAAAUGCCUGGGUUCUGUGUGGGGCAGGGGUGCUUUGGGUGGGGAGAAAGGAGAAUUGCUACCUCCAUCUGGGCUGGGUGACAGAACUACUGCCAUCAUAGGCCACAGUGUGAGUUUUGCUGUUGUUACUGUCAUGAGGGCUCUAGCUCCAAAUUUUACUCCCUGUUAGGACUUUGGCAGGUUUUGGCCAUUUGUGUCCAAAGUUGCCAUUAGUACCUCCUCUGAUGAGUGGCUGAAGCUGUGGACAUUGGUGAGCUUUGGAUCUGUGUGCUGGGGGUCAUGUAAAUCUGCAGAUACAUGGGAAGAAGUAGCCACUGACUGCUCUGCAUCUGUAGUGCUUAGCAGAGAAAACAGCUGUAAAUGAGCGUGUGAGCGAGGCAGGGAUAGAAAAUAACUUCUAGAACUGAUUGCUUCUCACAUGGAAAUGGUCAGAUUCGCUGGUAGAUAGCUAGUGUAAUGGCCUCAAGGUUUGACACCUGUUAUUUGUCAAGGGAAAUUAUUUUAAAAUAGUAAUAAUUUGUAAUAAAUCCUUUUAAAAAACAAAAUCAAGAGAACCUGUCCCCCAAAGGUAUGCUAUUUAAAAUAAAACAAUAAAACAGUGAUGUCAGAUUGUUCUAAUCAGCAAGCCUCUGUAUUACAUUGGAGUUAAAUUACACAGUGAUUCACAUAAUCAAACAAGUAGGCACAUUAGCAGUAAUUUAAAUAUAUUUGCAGACUCUAGAGUUGGUAUUUCCAAAUAAUAAUAAAAAAUUCCAGAAGUUUAAAGUAGCUGACCCAGAGGCAGUCUGGAUAACAUGGCUUAUGAUGUAUUGGUACUGCAUUUGUAGUUUUCAUAAGUUCAGAAAAAAUUGAGAAAAAGCAAGCAACUUUCAUUCAACCUGUAUUGAAAGAAUAUAUUAAAACUUUUGUUCAACAUCUCAAAUGUCUUCUUCCCUCUAUUAUUCUGCUUUCAAACUAGAAUUGUACAGUUUUAUCUUCCUGAACUUGGUGCAGAAAAAUAAAACUGAAGAAUCUUGUAAAGGAACUCCUAUUUGAAAUACAUUAUAAUCAUGUUCUUCUCCACACGUAGUUUUCCUUUCUCAGUACAUGCAAAUGCAUACUUGUCAUAUAAGCUGAAGUAAGUUUUAGAACUCUCUAGCCCAUUUAUUUAUUAUUUUGGUGGAUUUUCAUACUUUGAAUUAUUAAUUUACUUCUGUCAUUUUCCAUGUUUUCAGUCUUCCCAGCUGUCUGCUGACUGUGGGAGUAAUCCAUCUUAACUGCCUUCUACCCAAAUAGUUUGUUGUUGCUUGGUCUUCUGUUCAGAUUGGAGCUGCUAGUUUUGAGGGAAGUGAGUGUCUUGCAUCCCAAAUGUUCCCAAUUGACAUGUAGUUGUGUUGACUUACUUUGUGCAGGGAAAACCUCGUUUUUGGAAAAAAAAAAAAGUGAGAAUGUAUUUGUCUGGUUUACUUGUGCAGUAUUUUUUUCCCUAGAAAAUUUCACAGCAAACAAGGUUUGUUUAGAUCCUGUAAGCAAAGUUAUAGCAGAAAGUGUGUCAGGGUCAUUUUAGAAUUAAUAUUUGUAUCUGUGAAUAAUUUGUGAAAUCAUGUUGUUUUGAGUAGUUUUAUAAACAUUAAAAAUAAAAGUUACCAUGGUUUACAGA